GAUAAACGCUGGCGGCGUGCCUAAUACAUGCAAGUCGAACGAGGAAGACCCAGCUUGCUGGGUUGACCGAGUGGCGAACGGGUGAGUAAUACAUAAGCAACCUGCCCACGGAGACCGGGAUAAUCUCUGGAAACGGGGACUAAAACCGGAUAGGCAGCAAUGAGGCAUCUCAAUGCUGUUAAAGGUGAGAGACACUGGUGGAUGGGCUUAUGGCGCAUUAGUUAGUUGGUGAGGUAAGGGCCCACCAAGACGAUGAUGCGUAGCCGGCCUGAGAGGGUGAACGGCCACAUUGGGACUGAGACACGGCCCAGACUCCUACGGGAGGCAGCAGUAGGGAAUUUUCGGCAAUGGGGGGAACCCUGACCGAGCAACGCCGCGUGAGUGAAGAAGGUCUUCGGAUUGUAAAGCUCUGUUGUAAGGGAAGAACGGCAGGCAGAAUAUGCUUGAGUGACGGUACCUUACCAGAAAGCCACGGCUAACUACGUG
rnacentral:rRNA from 1 species